rnacentral:rRNA from 1 species
GUGGGGAGCAAACAGGAUUAGAUACCCUGGUAGUCCACGCCCUAAACGAUGCUGACUAGUUGUUGGGAAUUUACAUUCUCAGUAACGUAGCUAACGCGUGAAGUCAGCCGCCUGGGGAGUACGGUCGCAAGAUUAAAACUCAAAGGAAUUGACGGGGACCCGCACAAGCGGUGGAUGAUGUGGAUUAAUUCGAUGCAACGCGAAAAACCUUACCUACCCUUGACAUGUCACUAACGAAGUAGAGAUACAUUAGGUGCUCGUAAGGGAAAGUGAACACAGGUGCUGCAUGGCUGUCGUCAGCUCGUGUCGUGAGAUGUUGGGUUAAGUCCCGCAACGAGCGCAACCCUUGUCUUUAGUUGCUACGAAAGAGCACUCUAAAGAGACUGCCGGUGACAAACCGGAGGAAGGUGGGGAUGACGUCAAGUCCUCAUGGCCCUUAUGGGUAGGGCUUCACACGUCAUACAAUGGUGCGUACAGAGGGUUGCCAACCCGCGAGGGGGAGCUAAUCUCUUAAAACGCAUCGUAGUCCGGAUCGUAGUCUGCAACUCGACUACGUGAAGCUGGAAUCGCUAGUAAUCGCGGAUCAGCAUGUCGCGGUGAAUACGUUCCCGGGUCUUGUACACACCGCCCGUCACACCAUGGGAGUGGGUUUUGCCAGAAGCAGUUAGCCUAACCGCAAGGGGGGCGAUUGCCACGGCAGGGUUCAUGACUGGGGUG